CCUUUGAAAUGGAGAGGCCUCCAGUACACGGUCAGGAUUUUUCUGAAAAUGAUCCACGCUCAAAAACUGGACACGUCAUAAACUUAACCCACAUAAACUUAACCCAAACCACAUGAACUUAACCCAAGGUUAGAUCAGCCUAUUCUUUUCUCUCACCAACCCAUCUGAAAUUUCAAAGUUCAAACUCUCAUCUCCAACUCUCAUCUCCGAGGAUUUUCUCUCAUCUCCAACCCAAGGCCUUGCGCAAUCUUUUUGAGAGUUGAGGCACAGAGUAACACAGAGAUUUUGGAAAGAGAAAAGAGAAGAAAAAAAUGAAUACCCCUCACGGCACCGAUCCAAGCAGAGAUUUUGUCGUAUCAUCCGAUCCAAGCAGGAAGCAUUGACGGCACUGAUAUUCUCCCUCACGACAACGCCAUUUACAGAGCCCACCUCUGCGCCUCUGCUGGACUCUAUGACCCCUUUGGCGAUCGCAAGGUCAUCGGAGACCCUUACUGCACCGUCUUCGUCGGCCGCCUCUCUCGCCACACCUCCGAAGACACUCUUCGCGAGGCUAUGAGCGAGUAUGGGCGGGUGAAGAACUUGCACUUGGUCAGGCAUAUUGGUUUCAUUGAUCCUAAUCAUCAGUAAUUUGGAAGGACCUUUGGAGCUAUGAUACAUCCCAAAGCUUUGAUACCAAAGCAUCAUACAUUCAUACCAAGAGAUGGGGCAAGUUGGAUGGAAUGUAUAAUUAGCUAUUUCUGAAAGCUGGAGUCAUGUGAUGGUAAAGGGCGACUCAAAAAUUUGCUUCGACUCAAUUGCGGGCAAGUACCAGUCCGUGGAUUGGUCCAUUUCUACUUUGACUGAUAAUAUUCGUAGUUUAGCUAUGUUGUUUGCUGUUUGCUCGUUUAGCUGGAUCAAUAGGAGUUGUAAUGGCGCAGCUCAUGCUGCUGCCAAGUUAGCUUUAGGUUCUUCCUCUCCUUUUUGUUGUAAUAAUGGCAAUCUUCCGGCUGCUUUGCAGUCAGCUUGUAAGGUUGAUUGCCCCUCUCUUGUUUUUCCUGUUUUGGUUUAAUACUACUAUAGCUGAUUAUCAAAAAAGAAGCAAGAGGUAGAAUUCUUGUUAGGGCUCUUGUUCUAAUAGUCUUGUAAUCAAAGUGUACAUUUCAAUAAA